rnacentral:lncRNA from 1 species
GACAAGAUACACAACAUAUUUACAAAACAAAACAAGAAUAGGAGCCAACUAACCAAUUCAUCAGAAUCCCCAAGGAGACCACACUUAUUCCCAAAACAAUUCCAAAGCUCCAAAAUUCCCUAAGGUUAAGGUAAUCAUGGUUUUUCACUUAGGGCUAGUGUAUCAGCUUCAAAACAAAGAAAUGGGAAAAGCAUAGGCUCAAAGGGGCUAUCAAAGG